rnacentral:lncRNA from 1 species
UAUAUCUUUGACCAUCAUAAAUCAUCGAUUUUGUACAAUGAAUACUCUUAUGACCAAAAGCCUAAUGAGUAUAAGCAUAACCCAACUUUAAAGGAAGGUUUUUCUGCCAAGUUUUUCUAACCAAGUAAUGCUGCACUAAACAAGUGGAUUGACAAAGAAUAGCAACAAAUUUAUUGUCCCAAAAAAAACUAUAAUCAUGCACUGAAAAACAACCUUUCGUCAACAAAAGAAUGGCACAAAUUUCCAUUGAAAAAGUCUAAGAUAACAGAUGGUCAGUAUCAACUUGUUUUGUGUUUUUUUUUAAAGGUAACUUAAUUACUUUUUUGUAGCAAAAUGUUUUAUAAUUAAAUUCAUUUUCAUGUUGUGAAUAAUACAACUUUCUACAUCAGAUGAGAUAUAUGUUAAAGAAAGCAUUAAAAAUAAGAAUAACAAAUCAUACCGCUCUUCAUUGCCAGAACCUCCGCCACCUAUUAUGAAUAAGCCCAAUGCUAAAAGUAUAACACAAAUAUCAUAAUUUUUUCUUAUUGGUUUAUAAACUCAAAUACAUUCUUGUUUAAUUUGAUCUGAAUAAUAUCUAUCUAGCUAUUAGUCUUUAUUACGUAUUACUAAGGUUUUCUUUUUAUUUUAACUAUUUGGGUGUCCUAUUAUAUGUAAUGUUGUUAAAUUGGUUACAUAUAUUUAUAUCAUUGGCAACAUUCUAUUGUAUUAAAUUAUCCUUUAAUCAACUUGAUAUGAAAAUUGAAAAUUGAUUGAAAGCAUGCUGAAAUUGUUUGAAUUCAGAAAUUCAAAGAGUACAAAAUUGGUUGAAAGAUUAAAUUAAGUAACAGGUAUGGUUGAGGGAUUAUUUAUAGUUCUAAUUAUAAUUAUUUCUUUUGAAUAGAGUUGUUAUCAGAUUCAUAGAUUAAAGAUGUUUUUUCUUCACAUUUUAUUGAUGAACACAAUAAAACCAAGCAAGGUUCACAUUGUCAAAGAGUUUCAAGUUUUAAUAGAUGCAAAAUGUUAUUCUCAAGCUUGCAGAAAUAAAAGUUCUUUCAAAAGAAGUUAUAGAAAUUAAGUUUCAGGCUACUGGGGUGAAGUUGCUAGAAUCAGUGGAUGAAGUGGUUACACUGCAUAAUAUAAUAAUAUAAGUGCAUAAUAUAAUGCAUAAUAUAAUAAUAUAAGUGGUUACACUGCAUAAUAAAACCGAGUAUACUAAUUUGGUAAUCUAAUUAUCUUAAUUUUUAAUAAGUUUGUUGAAAUUUGGUUUAUUAGUUUAGAAUCUAAAUGAAAAGUAUUUGUAAAUGAACUAAAAUAACUAGCUUAUGUUAGACUUAAUAUGUUGUAAAGAAAUUUAAGUUACACUAAUUUUUAUUACAUUUAUUUCAGCUUGAUAGUUUGAAAAAGAUUGGUGGCGGAAAGUUUGAAAAAGGAUUGGUGGCCAAGAGAACAUGUUUUUUUUUAUCAUGAAAAGGUUAUUUUCGAAUCAGUUACAGUCCAUAUUAAAUCGAAAAGGAAAUGGGGAAAAGAUGAACUUAGAAAAUCUAGUAAAUAUAUGGAGUGUUUUACGAGAUAUCGGCGACGUGGAAGACGGUUGACGGCAAUGCAGAAAUAUAGUUUCUUAUGUAUAUUUUUGUGAAAUAAAAUUAAGUAAUUUUAGUUAAA